GAAAUGCGAUAAGUAAUGUGAAUUGCAGAAUUCCGUGAAUCAUCGAAUCUUUGAACGCACAUUGCGCCCUCUGGCAUUCCGGGGGCAUGCCUGUCCGAGCGUCAUUACGCACCCUCAAGCCCGGCUUGUGUGAUGGGCCCUGGCGUCUCGUUCGCGAGACGGGCCCGCAAGGCAGCGGCGGCGUCGACCCGAUGAGCCCGAGCGUAUGGGGACUUUUGUCACACGUUUGCGGUGCGGACCGGCGCCUGCUUGACUUUUCUGAUUAUCCAGGUUGACCUCGGAUCAGGUAGGGAUACCCGCUGAACUUAAGC
rnacentral:misc_RNA from 1 species